CCCCGGGGAGGGUCAAGGUGACUCCAGAUUUUACAAUUAGAGACUCACAAACUUCCAGGGCUGGGAGGUUGCUGCCUCGCGCAGGCAUAUCCCGAUCUGUUCCAAGUUCUUAGCUGCCCAGGUGUUGGAGUCGCCCUGUUGCACCGCCAAUAAUGAAUCGAGACUCUUGUGUUUAAAUGAAGGAGGAAUACGCUUUCUCUCGCGGGGACGUGAACUCGGUUAGCAGAAUGAAAAAGACCACUUGAACUAUCACACAGGAGCAUUGCGCGCCUUUCCUGAAUGUUGCGAUGGGUGCUUUACUUGCUGUUAACUCUUAACAGUGCAGCACUAGCUAGAUAUGGGGCAAACCUCAAAAAGGCACUGUUUGUAGGAACACUUUCUGAACUCGAUCCAAUUGUCCAUCAGUGUCCGGCAAGGAACUUGUGGCCCCAGCAAACUGACGGAGACGUUAGAGAAGAUAGACAAAGGAUGGAAGUUGAUAUGGGCUCCUGGAAUUUCAGGUCUGCUUAGCGAGAGCUGAAGAGAAAGUUGACUGGCCCAUAAAAGAAAAAUGAUUCAGAAAGUCCCGAGCAAGUGAAACCCGGAAACGUGCGACACUUGUGUCUGGCAGCCUCAUGCCCUGGAGCCACAAAACACAGAGCCUCCAUGCAGUAGGUGAAGAGAACUCUGAAGAGAUGUCACCUCAUUUCUCCCCAGCUCUUGCUCAGUCAAAAAGGACAUGGGAUAUCUGAGAGCAGAAGCAGGAAGACUAUUCUCAGGUGUUCUGGGGAAUGGGUGUGCUGGAUGAAGCUGGAGGCUGGAAAGAAUGGAAUGAAGACUGAAACUCCAGAGCUGGUCCCCUUUAAAAAUACAUAAAUAGGUAUUCUGAG